rnacentral:rRNA from 1 species
CCUACGGGGGGCUGCAGUGGGGAAUAUUGGACAAUGGGGGGAACCCUGAUCCAGCCAUGCCGCGUGUGUGAAGAAGGCCCUCGGGUUGUAAAGCACUUUCAGUGAGGAAGAACGCCUGGUGGUUAAUACCCAUCAGGAAAGACAUCACUCACAGAAGAAGCACCGGCUAACUCCGUGCCAGCAGCCGCGGUAAUACGGAGGGUGUGAGCGUUAAUCGGAAUUACUGGGCGUAAAGCGCGCGUAGGUGGCUUGAUAAGCCGGUUGUGAAAGCCCCGGGCUCAACCUGGGAACGGCAUCCGGAACUGUCAAGCUAGAGUGCAGGAGAGGAAGGUAGAAUUCCCGGUGUAGCGGUGAAAUGCGUAGAGAUCGGGAGGAAUACCAGUGGCGAAGGCGGCCUUCUGGACUGACACUGACACUGAGGUGCGAAAGCGUGGGUAGCAAACAGGAUUAGAUACCCUAGUAGUC